rnacentral:rRNA from 1 species
AUACAGGGCUCUUUGGGUCUGUAAUUGGAAUGAGUACAAUUUAAACCUCUUAACGAGGAACAAUUGGAGGGCAAGUCUGGUGGACGAUCAGCCCCAAGCUGGCGCCAGAGAUAGUUGGGCACUAUGUGCUAUGCCAACUAGUCGAGUACCUGUCAACUGAUGGGGAGGUACCGGCGAGACAACCUGGAUCGGGGAAGGCUAAGGCGUACAGGCUAUGCUAAUCCCGAGCAGAACUGCCGCAGAGCAAUCUGUGGACAGUCUGUGUAGAGCGCGCAAAGGUGUCGGUCGACUUCUAGAGUCGGCUUAAGGGACGUGCCAUUCCCGCCCGAAAGGGUGGCUGUCAGCAGAAGCGCCCAUCACGCGAUGGCUGACAGGUGAGAUUUCAAGAGGCCAGCAGCCGCGGUAAUUCCAGCUCCAAUAGCGUAUAUUAAAGUUGUUGCAGUUAAAAAGCUCGUAGUUGAACCUUUGGCCUGGCUGGCAGGUCCGCCUCACCGCGUGCACUUGUCCGGCCGGGCCUUUUCUUCUGGAGAACCGCAUGCCCUUCACUGGGUGUGUUGGGGACCAGGACUUUUACUUUGAAAAAAUUAGAGUGUUCAAAGCAGGCCUUUGCUCGAAUACGUUAGCAUGGAAUAAUAGAAUAGGACGUGCGGUCCUAUUUUGUUGGUUUCUAGGACCGCCGUAAUGAUUAAUAGGGACAGUCGGGGGCAUCAGUAUUCAAUUGUCAGAGGUGAAAUUCUUGGAUUUAUUGAAGACUAACUACUGCGAAAGCAUUUGCCAAGGAUGUUUUCAUUAAUCAGUGAACGAAAGUUAGGGGAUCGAAGACGAUCAGAUACCGUCGUAGUCUUAACCAUAAACUAUGCCGACUAGGGAUCGGGCGGUGUUAUUAUUUUGACUCGCUCGGCACCUUACGAGAAAUCAAAGUGUUGGGUCUGG